rnacentral:lncRNA from 1 species
GUUCUACCAUAUGGGGCUAUACAAGUGAGCAAUGAGAAUAAGGGUACCUUCACUGUCAAUGGGCAAAGAUUGAAACACUACUGGGGUGGUGACUUCUCUAAACAAGAGUCUACCGUUCAACUCGAGACGCCAGAAUGAAGCGGCCGCAGAAAAGUCGAGCUAUCGACUAUAACUUAGCGUUGGGUGGGAGGCAACCCACUGUAUCAUUUUUAUCUAUUUAUUUACUUUAUUAUGUUUUUUGCAUUAACUUAGGAAGUUUAUUUUCACAUUCAUUUAGUAUUCCUUUAUGUGGUCAUCAAUCAUCUAGGCAUUUCAAAGAGUCCAAGCACUGUGCACACGAGUCAUUAAGAAUCACACACAAGUUCGGGUUGAUUCACGUUUUUUGGGUAGUUGACUGUGGAAUUCAUGUAUUUCGAGAAAUAUUAUGUUUUCCAAAUUUCACAUGUCAAUAUUUUAAAAAUAUAUUUCAGAAAAAUUUGGGGGGGUUGAGAGAUGGGUAUUUAAAAAAAAAAAAUUGGACAGAAAUGGCAUUUUUAUUAUUUAUUUUAUUGUAUUAAAAAAAAUUUUGUGUGCUUAUGCGAUCGCAUAGACAUAGUGUCUAUGCGACCGCAUAGGCACCUACCGAAAGUGAAGGUCAUAAAACCAAUAUACCUAUGCGACUGCAUAGGUUAUAACUAUGCGGCCGCAUAGGUAGAAAAAGGCGUGGGUUUUUAACCCACGCCCGAAUCAUUUGCUAAGGGUUCUAUAUCAUUUUUCGACCUUUCACUCUCCUCCCAAAUCAAUUUUAGGCUAAAAUCACACACCAAUCCAUUCGUUGCAUUGUGCUAAAAUUGAUAGGAAAUCCAUUCUCUCCAUUGAUUAAACUCUACAAAGAAAAAGGUAUGUGUUCUUUCACCACUUCCUCAAUUCAUUUUCGGUUCUAUUCAUUAUACAUGUAAUUUUGGCGA